ACCAACUCCAUUUUCUACCAAAAGGGCCGUUGCCAGACCCCAAUUCAGAUGCGAGUCUAUGUGACAAUGCAAGAACCAAAUCCCUGAUUUGCAAUAGGGGAAAAAAGAAUCACAUAAUUGCUGAAGCAAGGGAAGCAAUGAUAGAGAGUAGGCCAAGUAAGAACCAAGAGCAGCAUGACAUGCCAGGGAGGUAGAUACUCUUCAUUGUUCUUAAAGAAUUUGUCAAAUGAAGUUACUUGAGUUAUGUGGCAUUUGGUCUAAGGUGUAGCUAUUUAUAGAAUGAUAAAGCGGGACAUGCCUAGAUUAAACCCAUUUUCAACUUUGAAAGACAAUUGUAUUGGCCAUUAUUUAAUUUGUUAACAGUAUAUUUAAAUAAUUUAAUCA